GCCACCGCUACAGGUUCUCUUUCUCUGCUCGCUCCGAUGUAGAGUGAUUUUACAUCCAUGGAUAGUCCAUUGCCAUACUCCUGCCACUUUGUUGGAGACCGGGUGCACCCUCGCACGCCUUUAACGAGGAGUUAAUACGUCCCUCCCAACCUUCUUUUCUUUUCUUUCCCCCUUGCGAAAACAGACCCCCCUCCUCUCCGGCCCAGAGCAGCUGCCCGUCAUACAGAAGGCCCUGCCUCUUCCGGGUCUCUUCGGCUGAGACACUGCUUCCUCCUCUCUCGCUUGCUCUCUCUCUUUUGUGAGUUAUAGCAACUGUUGCCUUGUGAAUUAAGCGCCAUAGUCACCGUAGUCCUGGUGACCGUUACUCAUCAACAAUUGCUCUGCCGCAGCUUUCCAUCUCCUUCAUCAUCACUUACAAUAGCCACCGCCAUCAAGAACAACAGAGCUUUCCACGGUUCAGGUCGUUGAUGAAGAUGUUGAUCAAGACCGGCCCCAGAGCUGAUCCCUGUGGAACUCCGCUGGCCACAAGCCUCCAACUCGAUUCUGUGCCGUUGAUCACCACCCUCUGGGUUCCGUCAUUCAGGCAGUUCUCAAUCCUCUCAAUCCACCUCACCGUCCACUCAUCCGAUCCACACUGGCUGAGCUUUCUGAUGAGGAUGUUAUGGGAGACGGUGUCAAAAGCCUUGCUGAAGCCAAGGGUCCAAGGCGUAUCGGAUUCACUGGAGGCCUGUACCUGAUUGUGGAAGCCUCUGUCGAUCUCCACCUCCAUCCCUCUGAUACUACAGAGCUACUAACGGUUUCAUGCAGCUCUUUCACCUGACGCUGGAGCUCUUGAACUUGAGGGCACCUAUGACACGUACUUACCUCAGCAGCAUAGGUCCCUAAACAUCCUAGACACCCCCUGCUCUCCACCUGGACUGAAGCAUCCUUGCUGACCGACUCUGGGUGGAUGCAUCGAUCUUCACCAGGGUAUUCUCCAUCUGAGUCUUGGCUUUAGCCCUCAGGCGAGUGCCCACCAUCUUGUUAGCUUGGGGCAGGAGCACUUCUCCAACUUGCGGCUCUAUGUGGGCUGAGGGAUCGUUCCUUGCCCAUCCUCCCUGCUCGCCCUGCCUGUGCAAACUGCCAUGCCACACCUGGGUGCCGCGCCACGUCCUGCUUGCCGCGCUCCCUGGAGAAUGUUUAAAUCCCCCACGGCUGCUGCGGCUCUGCCUCCACGCAAGACCGUCCCCGUCGCGAGAGCUGCCGGCUCCUGGUGGGUCUCCUCGCUUCUCCUUCACUCCCCGUGCUCCAGGAACCCCCGGAUUACCUCAAUUGGCCGCCCAGCUGCAAAUAAACGAGCUUUGCCACCGCUGUGUGUCCCAACGAUUAAAAAGGAUGGGAAGAGAGAUGGUAGUUAAUGAGGAUUUAUUAGAUACUGUAGGACGUGAGCAUGAUGUAAAUGGUAUGGAAUAAAGGUUGGAGAUUGUGCUGGUUUUGGCUGGGAUAGAAUUAUUUUUCUUCAUAGUGGAUUGUAUGGUGCUAUGUUUUGGAUUUGUGCCCAAAACAGUGUUCACAACACGCUGUUUCAGUUAUGUUCAGCAAUAACUUCCAUGGUGUGAAGGCCUAAUCUGCUUCUCACACUGUUCUGCCAGCGAUUAGGCUGGGGAUGGACAAGAAGUUGGGAGAGGACACCACCAGGCCAGCUGACCCCAACUGACCAAAGGGAUAUUCCAUACCAUAUGACAUCAUACUCAGUAAUAAAAGCUAGGGGAAAGGAGGAGGGAGGGGGUGACGUUCUGAAUGAUGAAGUAAAUGUUCUGUGUGAUGAAGCCCUGCUUUGCUUAACAUCUGCCUGCUGAUGGAAAGUAGUGAAUGAAUUCCUUGUUUUGCUUUGCUUGUGAGUGCAGCUUUUGCUUGACCUAUUAAACUGUCAUUAAACCUGGGAGUGAGUGAGCGGCUAUUUGGUGCUUAGCUGCCUACUGGGAUUAAACCACGACAGUACGUUUGAACUUAUUUCAAAAUAAGUAAUAUUUCGAAAUUUAGAUCAGACUACUGUUUUUAGUAUCUUUGAGAACUUCACUUGUUGUAAAAAUAUAAUGCAUCGGGUAAUCAUAGAAUGGUAGGGGUUGGAAGGCACCUCUAGAGACCAUCUAGUCCAAGACCCUUCUAAAGUAGGUCCACCUAGAUCGGGUUGCACAGGAACGCAAGUUUUGAAAACCUCUAGAGAAGGAGACUCCACAACCUGCCUGAGCAGCAUCUUCCAGUGCUUUGUCAUCCUUACAGUAAAGAAGAUUUCCUUGUUUAAGUGGAGCUUUUUGUGUUUCAGCUUUUGUCCAUUACCCCUAGUCCCAUCACUGAAAAAAGUGUGACGUACACCUAUUAAAUACUCGUAAGUAUUAAUGUGAUUCCCCCCUCAGUCUCCUCUUCUCCAGACUGAACAGUCCCAGAUCCCACAGCCUUUCCUCAUAAGAAAGAUGCUCCAGUCCCCUGAUCAUCUUGAUAUAUAUAAUCAUAUAUAUAUAUGAUACAUAUACAUUAUGUAUGUACAUUAAGGUACACAAUAUAGCUCAAGUAGAACAGAAAGUUAGCUUUUUUUAAAAAGAUCUACAAUCAAUACUCAAUAUAGAGGAAGUCCAUACAGCUUCUUAGCUAGUGCAUUUAGACUCUUCUCUUUCACCGUGUGAAAUGCUGGAAUAGAAGGAAUACUGAAAACAAAUAGCAAAGACUGUUGUGUACAGCUUAGAAUACAGAGAAAUGGAAAUUACAACUAAACAAAGGCCUGUAACAGAUCCAGCGCUAGUGACCUUUGGCUCUUGUAGUGGUUUUGUGUGGCCAGCUUUUGGUAGCGGGGGGCUACAGGGGUGGCUUCUUUAAACAAAGAGCUGCCAGAAGCUUCCCCUGUAUCUGAUAGGGCCAAUGCCAGUGGGCCCUAAGAUGGACCCGCUGCUGACCAAGGCCUGGCCGAUUAGUGAUUGAGGUAACGCCUCUGUGAAUAACGUAUCUGAGAAGGGGAAGAAGUUGCUGCGCAGCAGCAGAAGGGAGUGAGAAUGUGAAAACAACAUCUCCACAGACACCAAGGUCAGUGGAGAAGGAGGGGGAGGAGGUGCCUCAACACUGCAAGAGAGAUUCCUCUGUGACCUGUGAUGAAGAUCAUGGUGAGGCAGGCUGUCCCCCUGCAGUCCAUGGAGGUCUGCGGUGGAGCAGAGAUCCACUCGCAGACUGUGGAGGAUCCCGUGCCAGGGCAGGUAGAUGGCCCAAAGGAGGCUGUGACUCCGUGGGAAGUCCACACUGGAGCAUGCUCCUGGCAGGACCUGGGAGUCCAUGCAGAGAGGAGCCCAUUCUGGAGCAAAUUUGCUGUCAGGACUUGUGAUCCUGUGGGGAAUCCAUUCUGGAGCAGUCUCUUCCUGAAGGACACUUUUCCACGUUGGGCCAGUGUGUGUGAAGAGCUGCCCCCGUGGGAAGGACCCAUGCUGGAGCAGUUCAUGAAGAACUAUCUCCUAUGGGAGGUACUCCCCACUGUAGCAGUGGGAAGUGUGAGGAGGCCUCCCCCUGAGAAGAAGCAGCGCCAAAGUCCACCUGUGAUGAACUGUUUGUUAACCCCCAUCCCCUAUGCCGCUGGCAGGGGAGGAGGGAGAGUCCUGGGAAGAAGGAGGGGUGAGGGGAGGUGUUUUAAGAUUCGGUUUUAUUUCUCAUUUUCCCUGCUCUAUUUUGAGUGUUCAUUAAUAAAUCAACCCAUUUCUCCCCAAGUUGAGUGUAUUUUGCCUGUGACGCUAAUUGCUGAGUGAUCUCCCCGUCCUUAUCUCGACGUGUGAGCCUCUUGUUAUAUUUCUCUCUCCCUUGUCCAGUUUAGGACGGGGAGUGAUAGGACGAUUUGGUGGGUACCUGGCACCUAGCCAGGGCUAAACCUCCACAGCUCCACAGAGAAGCCACGAGAAUGCCUCCAAUGGGGAAUGCCAGGCUGUAUAUUGAAUUACUUUCUUCUUUUCAUGUUGGCGUGUGUUUAACUUGGCACAUUUUUUUGUGUUUUUAGAAAGCUUUGGGCCUUUGAAAAUUUUCUAGCAUUCUCUGGCUUCAGUUCUUUUUAAAAAAGGGGUGGGGUUUCAAAAAAGUGCAUUCUUAAAUGAUUCCAGCAAUUCAGCUUGGUAGGAUUAAAUCCAGCAUCAGUUUUCAUAUUAAGUAUUUGCACUUAUUUCAAGU